AGAGGUGCUGGGGUGUGCAAACAAUUUCACACCUGGAUGUGCUCACUCAACCAAGAAUAUAGAGAAAGAGCUUCUGCCCUGAGACUCAGAAAAAUAUUCUCCUGUGCUUUGGUUCAGUAUAGAUUUCUAAACCCUGAUCAUUGCUUAAGAGAUAUUCACUGAGGUUGCUGAGACAAAGGAAAACCCACUCCCUUGGAGGAGCAUGACCUUUUCCUGUAAUUCUUCCCACUGCUGUUGUUGAGCUCCUUGGAUCCUGGCUCCUGGACACCAUCAUCAAGAAGACUUUAUGGAUGGGCUGUCCACCCACUGAGAGAAGAGGAGCAUCAGCUACAGUUUCUCUCUAGAUUGCCUUCUUCAUUUUGAGUAAUGACUGUCAGCAGGGUCAGAUUAAACACAAAACAACUGGACAAUUGCUUGGAGGACUAAACUAUAAGGGCACUAACAUGUCAAUAGUAGGCUAACACAUCCAUGGAAAAUAUAUUUACCAGCUCUUCUCUCAGGGAGGAUUCUGUGUGGGGUUGGAAGUAAUGAUUUGUUAAAUUCCUUAGGGGUAGAAAGUAGGGCAUAAUCAGAAUAUAGAGGAAUAUGCUGUUUGACUUCAGGGUUUCUGUUUUUCUUACUAGGAUAUAUAAAACAGGGACUCUAGCUAGAUUGUUUAUGACCACAGAGGGUAGGCUGAGUGCUCCCAUGAUCUUCCUGCUUGGUUCUUGCCCAUACAGAGGUCAGCCUUUCCUCUAAUAAAGAUUGAACAAGUAGUGGUCUGAGGGA
rnacentral:lncRNA from 1 species